AGUGAACGCUGGCGGUAGGCCUAACACAUGCAAGUCGAACGGCAGCACAGUAAGAGCUUGCUCUUACGGGUGGCGAGUGGCGGACGGGUGAGGAAUACAUCGGAAUCUACUUUUUCGUGGGGGUUAACGUAGGGAAACUUACGCUAAUACAGCAUACGACCUACGGGUGAAAGCAUGGGAUCUUCGGACCUUGCGCGAUUGAAUGAGCCGAUGUCGGAUUAGCUAGUUGGCUGGGUAAAGGCCCACCAAGGCGACGAUCCGUAGCUGGUCUGAGAGGAUGGUCAGCCACAUUGGAACGGAGACGCGGUCCAGGCUCCUACGGGAGGGAGCAGUGGGGAAUAUUGGACAAUGGGCGCAAGCCUGAUCCAGCCAGACCGCGUGGGUGAAGAAGGCCUUCGGGUUGUAAAGCCCGUUUGUUGGGAAAGAAAAGCAGCAGGUUAAUACCCCGCUGUUCUGACGGUACCCAAAGAAUAAGCACCGGCUAACUUCGUG
rnacentral:rRNA from 1 species